UGAAUACGAGAUGCUACGGCGUCGAAGCAGUCUAUGUCAUACUUCCAAGAAAAGCUUGCACUGUCAUAAACAAAUAAUGCCUGUACCAUAACCGACACAGGUGGGUAGGUAGAGUAUACUAAGGGGCGCGAGAUAACUCUCUCUAAGGAACUCGGCAAAAUGACUCCGUAACUUCGGGAGAAGGAGUGCCUUAUUUAUAAGGUUGCAAUAACAAGAUCCAAGCAACUGUUUACCAAAAACACAGGUCUCCGCUAAGUCGUAAGACGAUGUAUGGGGGCUGACGCCUGCCCAGUGCCAGAAGGUUAAAGAAGUUGGUUAGCAUCUGCGAAGCUGAUAACUGAAGCCCUGGUGAACGGCGGCCGUAACUAUAACGGUCCUAAGGUAGCGAAAUUCCUUGUCGGGUAAGUUCCGACCCGCACGAAAGGCGUAAUGAUUUGGAUACUGUCUCGGAGAGGGGCUCGGUGAAAUAGACUUGUCUGUGAAGAUGCGGACUACCUGCACCAGGACAGAAAGACCCUAUGAAGCUUUACUGUAACCUGAAAUUGAAAUUGGACUUUACUUGCGCAGUAUAGGUGGGAGGCGUUGAGAAUAUUCUUGCGGGAUUAUUGGAGCCAUCAGUGAGAUACCACUCUUGUAAUGUUAAAUUUCUAACUUUGUAUCAUUAUCUGGUCAAAGAACAGUUUCAGGCGGGCAGUUUGACUGGGGCGGUCGCCUCCUAAACGGUAACGGAGGCGCACAAAGGUUUCCUCUGAACGGGUAGAAAUCGUAUCUAGAGUGUAAAGGCAUAAGGAAGCUUGACUGUGAGACCUACAAGUCGAGCAGGGACGAAAGUCGGUCUUAGUGAUCUGACGGUGCUGAGUGGAAAGGCCGUCACUCAACGGAUAAAAGUUACUCUAGGAUAACAGGCUGAUCUCCCCCAAGAGUUCACAUCGACGGGGAGGUUUGGCACCUCGAUGUCGGCUCAUCGCAUCCUGGGGCGGUAGUACGUCCCAAGGGUUGGGCUGUUCGCCCAUGAAAGCGGUACGCGAGCUGGGUUCAGAACGUCGUGAGACAGUUCGGUCCAUAUCCGGUGUAGGCGUUAGAAUAUUGAGAGGAGCCUUCUUUAGUACGAGAGGACCGAGAAGGACAUACCUCUGGUGUACCAGUUAUCGUGCCAACGGUAAACGCUGGGUAGCUAUGUGUGGAGUGGAUAACCGCUGAAAGCAUCUAAGUGGGAAGCCCACCUCAAGAUAAGUAUUCUCAUC
rnacentral:rRNA from 1 species